GUUGGGAUAGCUCAGUUGGUAGAGCAGAGGAUUGAAAA
rnacentral:tRNA from 1 species